UGCAGUCGAACGGUAACAGGAAAGAGCUUGCUCUUUUGCUGACGAGUGGCGCACGGGUGCGUAACGCGUAUACAAUCUGCCUUCAAGCGGGGGAUAGCCCAUGGAAACGUGGAUUAAUACCCCAUGGUAUUAUGAUUUCACCUGGAAUUAUAAUUAAACAUUUAUGGCUUGAAGAUGAGUAUGCGUCCUAUUAGCUAGAUGGAGUGGUAACGGCACCCCAUGGCGACGAUAGGUAGGGGUCCUGAGAGGGAGAUCCCCCACACUGGUACUGAGACACGGACCAGACUCCUACGGGAGGCAGCAGUGAGGAAUAUUGGACAAUGGAGGCAACUCUGAUCCAGCCAUGCCGCGUGCAGGAAGACUGCCCUAUGGGUUGUAAACUGCUUUUAUACAGGAAGAAACCUUCUCACGUGUGGGGAGCUGACGGUACUGUAUGAAUAAGGAUCGGCUAACUCCGUGCCAGCAGCCGCGGUAAUACGGAGGAUCCAAGCGUUAUCCGGAAUCAUUGGGUUUAAAGGGUCCGUAGGCGGGUUUAUAAGUCAGUGGUGAAAGUCUGUCGCUUAACGAUAGAAUUGCCAUUGAUACUGUAGAUCUUGAAUUAUUAUGAAGUGGUUGGAAUGAGUAGUGUAGCGGUGAAAUGCAUAGAUAUUACUCAGAACACCUAUUGCGAAGGCAGAUCACUAAUAAUAUAUUGACGCUGAUGGACGAAAGCGUAGGUAGCGAACAGGAUUAGAUACCCUGGUAGUCUACGCUGUAAACGAUGGUCACUAGCUGUCCGGCCUAAUUGAGGGCUGGGUGGCCAAGCGAAAGUGAUAAGUGACCCACCUGGGGAGUACGUUCGCAAGAAUGAAACUCAAAGGAAUUGACGGGGGCCCGCACAAGCGGUGGA
rnacentral:rRNA from 1 species